AGCCAAAUAGUUCAAUGGGAGAACACCGGCAAUAGAAGCCGCGUACUACGGUUCGAAUCCGUAAUUGGCGA
rnacentral:tRNA from 1 species